rnacentral:rRNA from 1 species
AUUGAACGCUGGCGGCAGGCCUAACACAUGCAAGUCGAGCGGAUGAAGGGAGCUUGCUCCUGGAUUCAGCGGCGGACGGGUGAGUAAUGCCUAGGAAUCUGCCUGGUAGUGGGGGAUAACGUCCGGAAACGGGGGCUAAUACCGCAUACGUCCUGAGGGAGAAAGUGGGGGAUCUUCGGACCUCACGCUAUCAGAUGAGCCUAGGUCGGAUUAGCUAGUUGGUGGGGUAAAGGCCUACCAAGGCGACGAUCCGUAACUGGUCUGAGAGGAUGAUCAGUCACACUGGAACUGAGACACGGUCCAGACUCCUACGGGAGGCAGCAGUGGGGAAUAUUGGACAAUGGGCGAAAGCCUGAUCCAGCCAUGCCGCGUGUGUGAAGAAGGUCUUCGGAUUGUAAAGCACUUUAAGUUGGGAGGAAGAGCAGUAAGUUAAUACCUUGCUGUUUUGACGUUACCAACAGAAUAAGCACCGGCUAACUUCGUG